GAUGAACGCUAGCGGCAGGCUUAAUACAUGCAAGUCGAGGGGCAGCAUGAUUGUAGCAAUACAAUUGAUGGCGACCGGCAAACGGGUGCGGAACACGUACACAACCUUCCAAUAAGUGGGGAAUAGCCCAGAGAAAUUUGGAUUAAUACCCCGUAACAUAACGAUGUGGCAUCACAUUGUUAUUAUAGAUUUUUCGCUUAUUGAUGGGUGUGCGGCUGAUUAGGUAGUUGGUGGGGUAAAGGCUCACCAAGCCGACGAUCUGUAGCUGGUCUGAGAGGACGACCAGCCACACUGGGACUGAGACACGGCCCAGACUCCUACGGGAGGCAGCAGUGGGGAAUUUUGGACAAUGGACGCAAGUCUGAUCCAGCCAUUCCGCGUGCAGGAUGAAGGCCUUCGGGUUGUAAACUGCUUUUGUACGGAGCGAAAAGGCUCUCUCUAAUACAGGGGGCUCAUGACGGUACCGUAAGAAUAAGCACCGGCUAACUACGUGCCAGCAGCCGCAGAACAC
rnacentral:rRNA from 1 species